CCUGGCUGCUGUAGCGCGGUGGUCCCACCUGACCCCAUGCCGAACUCAGAAGUGAAACGCCGUAGCGCCGAUGGUAGUGUGGGGUCUCCCCAUGCGAGAGUAGGGAACUGCCAGGC
rnacentral:rRNA from 1 species